rnacentral:rRNA from 1 species
UACUCCUACGGGAGGCAGCAGUGAGGAAUAUUGGUCAAUGGACGGAAGUCUGAACCAGCCAAGUAGCGUGCAGGAUGACGGCCCUAUGGGUUGUAAACUGCUUUUGUAUGGGGAUAAAGUUAGGGACGUGUCCCUAUUUGCAGGUACCAUACGAAUAAGGACCGGCUAAUUCCGUGCCAGCAGCCGCGGUAAUACGGAAGGUCCAGGCGUUAUCCGGAUUUAUUGGGUUUAAAGGGAGCGUAGGCUGGAGAUUAAGUGUGUUGUGAAAUGUAGACGCUCAACGUCUGAAUUGCAGCGCAUACUGGUUUCCUUGAGUACGCACAACGUUGGCGGAAUUCGUCGUGUAGCGGUGAAAUGCUUAGAUAUGACGAAGAACUCCGAUUGCGAAGGCAGCUGACGGGAGCGCAACUGACGCUUAAGCUCGAAGGUGCGGGUAUCAAACAGGAUUAGAUACCCUGGUAGUCCGCACAGUAAACGAUGGAUGCCCGCUGUUGGUACCUGGUAUCAGCGGCUAAGCGAAAGCAUUAAGCAUCCCACCUGGGGAGUACGCCGGCAACGGUGAAACUCAAAUGAAUUGACGGA